rnacentral:rRNA from 1 species
UACGUAGGGUGCGAGCGUUGUCCGGAAUUAUUGGGCGUAAAGGGCUCGUAGGCGGUUUGUCGCGUCGGGAGUGAAAGCCCUGGGCUCAACCCAGGAAGUGCACUCGAAACUGGCGAGCUAGAGUACUGGAGAGGUUGGUGGAAUUCUCGGUGUAGAGGUGAAAUUCGUAGAUAUCGAGAGGAACACCGGUGGCGAAGGCGGCCAACUGGACAGAUACUGACGCUGAGACUCGAAAGCGUGGGGAGCAAACAGG